rnacentral:rRNA from 1 species
CCUACGGGUGGCAGCAGUGGGAAGAGUGCGCAAGGGGCGAAAGCCGGACGCAGUGACGACGCGUGAGGGAGGAAGGUCUUCGGAUCGUAAACCUCUGUCAGCAGGGAAGAACGGUCACUGUGCUAAUCAGCAGAGAAUUGACGGUACCUGCAAAGGAAGCACCGGCUAACUCCGUGCCAGCAGCCGCGGUAAUACGGAGGGUGCGAGCGUUAAUCGGAAUUACUGGGCGUAAAGCGCUCGUAGGCGGUAUGUCAAGUCAAGGGUGAAAUCCCCGCGCUCAACGUGGGAACUGCCUUUGAAACUGGCAAACUGGAGUGUGUGAGAGGAUAGUGGAAUUCCAGGUGUAGGAGUGAAAUCCGGAGAUAUCUGGAGGAACAUCAGUGGCGAAGGCGACUAUCUGGCACAUAACUGACGCUGAGGAGCGAAAGCGUGGGUAGCAAACAGGAUUAGAUACCCUUGUAGUC